GACAGAGGAUGCAAGCGUUAUCCGGAAUGAUUGGGCGUAAGCGUCUGUAGGUGGCUUUCAAGUCCGCCGUCAAAUCCCAGGGCUCAACCUCGAGACGCCGAUGGAACCCCCUGGCUAGAGUCCGGAAGAGGAGAGUGGAAUUCCUGGUGUAGCGGUGAAAUGCGCAGAUAUCAGGAGGAACACCAAUGGCGAAGGCAGCUCGCUGGGACGGUACUGACGCUGAGACGCGAAAGCGUGGGAGCAAACAGG
rnacentral:rRNA from 1 species